rnacentral:ncRNA from 1 species
UAGGCGGGUUCCGAAAAGCCGAGAAGAGAGUAGGAA